rnacentral:lncRNA from 1 species
CCGAACUUGGGGUGGUGGAAAUACUUGGGAGGAAGCUUGGGAAGCGGAGGGCACGGCUUCUUCGUAAAUGGAGGAAUCUUCGGAAGAGGAGGAAGUGGCUUGUGAGGAAUAGGAGGGAAGGGUUUCGGUUUGUAAAUAGGAACCGGCGGUGGAAGCGGCUUCUUAUAAACCGGUACCGGAUGAGGCUUAUAAACCGGUGGUUUGUAGACAGGAACCGGCGGUGGAAGCGGCUUCUUGUAGACCGGCACCGGAUGAGGCUUAUAAACCGGUGGUUUGUAGACAGGAACCGGCGGAGGGAGUGGUUUCUUGUAGACCGGCACCGGGUGAGGCUUAUAAACCGGUGGUGGAAGAGGUUUCUUGUAGAUGGGAGGGUGAGGGUAAUGAUGGUGGAAGCUUUUCAAUGGCGGAAGUGGUGGAAGCUUAGGCAAUGGAGGGAAGUUGUGGUGGUGGUGAGGCCAAAAGGAGGCUGAGACACAUGUUAUUGGUGAGAAUUUGAGGUUCUCUUUUAACCCAAACUGGUGUUUCUGGUCGGUGGUGGAUUUGAAAACUAGCUUAGAGGAUUCUAAGCCAUUAAUGGAAGGGCAAGGUUGAGGUGAUGAUACAGUGCGAAGCUGUGCGUAGCAAUGUUCAUUCAAUUUGCCAUCUUUGAACAAGUGUUGUGGAAGAGAGACUUUGAAAUUGCCUUGUUUGUCAAGCUUUCCAGACCCUCUGGUUUUGAAAUGGUCACCAUUUUCUGGCUUGCAAUCUAUGGUUACACGAAGACCUAGAAAGAGAAAACGCCAUUAUCAUAACAUCAUAAAUAUUGCUUCAAAUUAAAGAAAGGGAGAAUACACCAUUAACAUAACAUCAUAAAGUUUAAUUCUCUAAUGUUAACAAAAUGUUAGUGUGAUGGUUCACUGGUAGAUUUAUACACUAAUAAUGAAUCAAAUAAAAACCUCUUUUUACUAUUUUUUAGAGCUUUUGCCUUACUCGUGACUAAAAUUUUUAAAUUUUUGGGGAGAAGUGUAUCUUUAUUUAAGCAGCUUUUUGUUUUAUGUAUAAGGUGUAAUGCAGAUUUAUCCCUAUCAUGAGUGCUUGAGUAUCAACUCUUUAAUUGACCAUCGUCAAUACAAAAGUAUGUACAUAUAAUUGAGUUUGAACUUGGAUAUGUAUGUAUAUCAAUCUUAGUGUAAUAAUAUGUGUGUUGAGGAGAGGUCGCGCUUUGGGCCAAUCUUGGACCCUCAAUGAAGGUAUUGUUCUCUGGAUUUCUAUACUCGGUUUUAACUUUGAGUUUUUGUCUCAUAACUUUGAAGGGAGUCCAAAAGGGUUCGCGAAAUUUGAUGGAGCGCCUACUCCACCAAAGAAAUGUUUAACAUUUGGCCUUAAUGGGUUUUGAACUCAUGCCCUUAUAUGGCAUUAGUGGGUAAGAACUAGAUCUGUUCAUGGGUCGGGUUAUCCGCUUAAGCCUAAAGGCCCAUCAGAAAUUUGAAAGGGUUUGAGUAAAAAAUUAGGCCUGAAAAAUAGAUUUGGACAAAAAAAUAGGCCAAUUUAUAAUAUGGGUCGGGCUCGAGGCUUGAACAUUCAAGGCCUGAGCCUGACCCGACCCAUUUUUAAGUUUAUAAUAUUUUAUAUUAUGUUAUUUUUAUAUAUUAUAUAAUUUAGAACACAUUAAAAAAAAUAAACCUAUACUAAAUAUAUAAUACUACUCUAAUGUAAAUAUUAAAAUAAAGUUCAGAUGACUAUAUAAAAAUUUUCAAUAAAUUAAAAAAAGUAUAAAAUUAUUAAAUAUUAAAAUAAUAUAAUAUAAAUAUUUUUAAAAAAUUUAAAAAAUAAUAUGGGUGGACCUAAAAUAGGCUUGGGUUAGUCUUUUGCAAAUAUGGGCUUGUUUGAGUAAAAUUUUAAGCCUAUAUUCCGGGUCGGACCAGGCUUGGACAAGCAUAAAGUAUGUUAAUAUCAUGCCUAAGCCCGACUCGAACCUAUGAACACCUCUAGUAAGAACAUUACCGUGAACUUUCUUAGGCUCUCCUUAAAAUACAAGUGACAAAACUCAGAUAAUCAAACAUCAACACCCACAAACAAUACUUCUGAGGAUCCGGAACCGACCCAAACAACUAACUCCCCCCAGCAAUAUAGGCCACUACAACAUGCAAGGAAUGGCCUCGAAAUUAAUUGAGCAGCUUAGAUGAAAACAAUACCUGAAAAUGCUUGGGUGGUGUCCAAGUUAUUCUCUUUGCAAUCUGUGCAUUCACCAACCCCGACCACUUCAACUGUUUUACCAUCACCGUUAGCAUUGCAAAAUGUGGUCACAAAUAAUAAUGACCAUACUGUGAACGCCACAAGUGCUCUUCCUCGAAACUCGAGGUUCUCCAUUGUUAUUGCUUCUGAGGUAGUGAUAUGAUAUCAGAGAUUGGAUACCAAAGCCUUAUUAUAUAAUGGUGUUCAAAAGGGAUCAUGGGAUCACCAUUUUCAAUGGCUUACCGACACCACACUUAAAUGCCUCACAUAAGGUUAGGGAACGGGACCCUCACCACCUCUUUGAGAUGACUUUGGUGUAGACACGUAGUUUAAACUUUGGUUUGAUAUGAUCAUCAUAAAAAAAAUUAAUAAUUUAAAUUUGAAAUGAUUUUGUUGAGUAUUUUUAUUGUGUAUUUUCUUAAUGGGUGAAACAGAUAUUUAUUUGAUAUGGUUACUGUUCAUGGAAUUGACGUUCUAGGUAAGCUCCAUGCAUAUCGACACGUAUUCUACUCUAGACUUAACACGUGUUUGUUGGUCCAGGUGCUCGCCAGUUCAUUCAUUUAGCUUUGUACCCUGUGCGAACUGUGCUCGCAAGCCCUCCCCGUGAGCCCCUUAACGACUCCACCUGGUGGGGUCCAAACUCGGGUCGUAGGUCGGUAGCUCGGGUUAUAUUCGAGUUUCAGGUUGGCAAUUGGAUAUCCCACAAUAGAUCUAAUUCGAAAAUUGAGCUUCAAAUUUAAAUGAUUUGAACCUAAAACAACCCGAAAUUGAAAUGGCUCGAACUUAAAACAAGUUAAACUCAAAAUGAUUCAAACCCAGAAUUAAUUUGAAAAAUCGAGAUAACUCAAUCUAGACUGAUUGGUCUAAAACUGAUCCAACCCACUCAAUUUAUAAGUGAAUUCGGUGUAAUGGUUUGAAAAAGAUUGUGAUGUUACCUGAAUGACCCGAACCCAAAAUAACUGGAAAUUAAAAUGGCUCGAACUUAAAAUUGUUCGAAUCUAAAAUUGAUUCAAACCCAAAAUUAACAUGAACUGAAAUAAUUUUAAAAUUUUAAAAUUCGAAUUAACCCGAUCUGAAUUUGCUUUGAUCUAAAACUAAUUCAACCCACUUAAAUUACAAGUGAAUUUAGUGUAAUAGUUUGAAACCAAAACAACUUUAAAUUAAAAUGAUUUGGACCUAAAAUAAUUCGAAUUCAAAGUAAUUUAAACUCAAAAUUAAUCUGAAAAUUGAUACGAUUUAAAUUAAUUUGAUCCAAAACUAACCCGACCCACCUAAUUGACAGAGUGUUUAGUGUAAUGGUUUGAAAAAGAUAGUAAUGUGCCACAACCCCACAACCCCACAACCAUUUGUUGAAUUAAGCUAAUGAUAGUAUCUUUCAUUGAAUGAGCCCUCAACUGCACAACGAACAGCUAAAUUAUGCUUUGUGUUUUCUCAUCUGCAUUUUAAAACCUACUUACUAACUUUCAUAAAUAAUUUUUUCUAUAUUUACACAAUUCUUUGCUGAAUUACAAAAAUGGUCCUUCAAUAUUCAACUUAAUUUGAAUUAUUUAAAUUGUGCAACAUAUGAAUUUCGAAUAAAUCAACCACACAAAUGCCAACCAAUUUAAUUAUUACUCAAAAAAACCACUUGCUUUCUAAGUUGUUCUUAGUCAUCACUAUCAUAAUUAAGCUCAUUUUGUGAGACAACCCUUUGACUAUUUUUCAUCUAAUAAAUAUGGGGUUCAUCCAUGUGGCCAUGAAUUUGCAAGUCCCCCCCCCCUCCCCGCCUUUGAUCCAAACUUGGGCCAAACCCUAAUCCUUGAAUUUUACUUUUAUUAUUGAAAGCACAUGGUGGAGGUGGACCCUUUCUUUGACCAUCAAAGAUAAUCUAGUAACUUUGCCAAAAGAGGUCUCUAGAAAUGAAACCAUUUGUUGUAGAUUGAAGGUAGAUAGGGUAACCUCAGAUAAUAUUAUAAUUCACCCUAAUGGAUUAAAGAAAAUCGUUCUUCUUGAAUUUGAUUUUCAAAGCAUACUCCGAAGUUUAAGUGAGAGUCGGAGAGAGAUAAGAAACAAACUAACUAGUGCCGGUACGUUUAAUAUCGUCUUAUUUUUUUGUGAACCGUCUCAUUUUACUCUAAAACAUAAUGUCAACUAAUAAGGAUGUGACACGUAGCACGUUUACAUUGGACGUCAUACACUUUUAGGGUAAAAUGAAAAGAAAUUGAUAGUUUAGAUAUCACUUUUGAUUAAAAAAAAUUAGGUACUUAACUGAGGAAAACGAUAUAAAUUGAGAGUCAAUUUUGUAAUUAAGCAAAAAGAAAAACAUCUUUCACAUAAAUUAAUGGCAAUGCUGGAUUUAGUUACACUUCUUUUUCACAAAUCGGUUUUCAAGUGAUGUGAUUACCAUGUGAUUAAAAGGAAAAACAAAAUCAAUCAUGGAUUUAAAUGUUGAAAAUGUAGUUAUAGGUCACAUACAAAAAUGUAGGGUCAAACAUUACUUAAAUAUUUUUCAAUUAAGGACAACAUUAUGCACCUUAAUAUUUGGUGAGAUGGAGUUUCCCUAUCAAGCUUGCUAAUUAGUAGGGUAAAGGUGUAUUCAUGUAAUCUUAUAUUUUAACAAAAGUUGUGAAUAUAGACCAAUAAAUCUAUUUAUAAAUUGAGUUGGGUCAAAUUUCGUAAUAAAAUCUUGAUGAAAGUUAUUACUUAUAGGUUUUCAUACCAAGGGCACAAUCAAAUUAAGCUCGUAGGGUCUACCAAUUUCGUUAUUAAGAUCUCAUUAAGAUACCUUUCUCCCUCCUUUCCCCUCCUUUCAUUUGUUUACUUUCUUUUGUUUAUUUAUUGGCUUUGUUUUGAUGUGAAACUGUUGAAUUUAGUAGAUAUAGAUACAGAUUCUUAUAUCGAAGGGUCUUUACCUAUUUUGUUUUGUUUGUUUAUCAUCUUUCGUCCCUAUCAGAGACCCAUAUUUAUUUUUAUUUGGUCCAAUCAGAAAACAUUUUAUCAUUUCUGUAUUCGCAAUUCAAUAUAGAUAGAUAUUCCAUAACAUAUCUAUGUCCCUCUUACUCUCAAUUUUCUCAGGCAAUUUGGUGGAAUACUCGAACGGUCGAUUUUUUUUUUCGUCUUAGCUUCUGUCUUUAUGAUCUGGAUUUCAUUUCUAUGGGUUGCAAUUUUUUUUCUUUAAUGUCAUUUUUAUUCUUAUAUAUAACCAUAACAGGAAUAGGAUAACUAAAAAAAAAUAAAAAUAAAAAUUGAAUUUAUUAUUAUUUCUUUAUUUCUUUAUAGUAUAAUAGCUAGAACUAAUUAUUUAUAUUUAAUAAAUACAACUAAUUAUCCAUUCAUUUCUAUUUCAAAUUCGAAAAUAAUUCAAAUUUUUUAGUUUAAAAAGAGUUCCCAUUCUAAUUAUCUAUACUUAUAACGUAUCAUUUCAUUUAUAUAAUGAUAAUAUAUAUAAAUACAUAAAAAUAUUUGGACUCUAAUUAUAUCUAUGCAGAACUCUAAGCUAAAUAAAAAUAAAUUUAAUCUAUAUUAAAUCUAUUAAAUUGAUCGAUUAAAUAAAUUCUAUAUAAUUUAGAAAAUAAGAAUAGAGUCAGUAAUAUUAGGAAUAAUUAAUAUAGAAUAUACUAAUAGAACCAAGAUAUCAUUUGUUUCUAAAUUUAAAUGGAAUUUGAGAUUUAAUAUUUGUAAUUAAAAUUUAAAAAAAAUUAAAUCAUCCCAUUUUUUACUAAAAAUAUUUGUAAUUCAAUAAUUGACGUGGACAAUAUUUUCUAUUUAAAUUUUAAAUUCAAAAAAUAUAUACUUGAUAGUAAAUAUUAAUAAUGUGAAUGAUUGAAGUGAGACUAGCCACAUAUUUUAAAAUUUAAGUUGAUAUUAAUAUUUAUACAUUUUAAAUAAUUAAUAAUAAUUGGACGGAGGAAGUCUAGUGACUAGUCUUUUGAGUUUUGACUUAUAGAUCUGCCCCUUAAGGGGGUUUUUAAUGUAUGACUAAUAUAAUGCCGAAAAGUUAGGUGAUAAGAAAAAAGAAUUUCUUUUAGCCCAACUUAUUGUCUAAUUCAAUACAAAUAAAUCAAUAUAUUUCAGAUAAAAAUAUUAAUAUAUUUGGAACUUAGAUAAGGCUUAGUGACAUGGAUAAAGCUAGAAAAUUGUUUCAAGAGGAAUUAGAGAUGAAUAGUAAAUUAUUAAAGGGUUAAGAUGUAAUUUUAUCAUUAUAAUAAUAUGUAAUUUUUAUAAAAAAAAAAAUUUGAAGGGAUUAAAUGACAAAGGCCUCUUCGUCCUGCUGGAACUUAAAUUCAGAUUAAUCUAAAAGAGAAUCUAGGCCAGACAUUUGUAUCAGAUGAUAUUCGAAUCUAAACCACCGACUUCAACCUGACCAACUAUGACACAUUAUUCGUACGUCUAUAAAUUGGAAUGGUAAUAAAGUUGAAAAUUAUGUGUUGUGAUUGGACCUAUCUUUGGGGUUGCUUUUUUUGCCUACGUGAGGGAAUCCUUAAUAGAGAAAGCUUCGGGCAGUAUUCGGGUAUAAGGUGGGGAUUGUUUUGGUACUUUUGCUUCGUAGGGUUCACGGUGGAUUUCAGAACAUGAUUUAAUUUGCCUGAUUUGAAUGAUUUUUCUAAAAUAAAAUAAUGACUUUUUGCUGUUUCGGUAUAAGUAUUUUUCUUUUUUUCUUUUUUCUUUUUCUUUUUUUUUUUUUGAGUUGAUUUAGAAUUAGAUGAAAUUGAUUUUGAAUUUAAAUCCAUUUCUAAUUUAAAUUUAAAAAGGUUCAAACUGUUUCGAAUUCAAUUUAAGACUUGCUUUUUCGGAUCAAUUCAAAUCCAUUUGAGUUCAAGUUCAAUAGGUUCUAAUUUGUUGAUUUUUUUUUAUCACUAAAUUGAUUGUGAAAUUUAGGUUCAAAUUCCAAAUUCGAUAAUUGAUCACUAGAAAUGUAAGUUAAAAAAUCAACAUGUUUAAACCUGAAAUCGAUUACAAAAGGAACAUAACAAGGGAAUUUAAUGUAUACUUCCCAAUAGCAGUGAAAACGUGACAGCGGCUGUGACCAAGGUUUCUAACACACCACCACCACACUGAUAAUACUUAAGUUUAACCCAGAAACCAAAAAUCCGAAAUCCGAUGAACAAAGAAACCGAGAAAAAAAAAAGAAGUAAAAUUAGUCCUGCCUCGUAUCACAGUUAGUUUCGCUUCUACAAGCCUCGAUUUAAGCAUCCUCAAGAAAAGAUGUAGUGAAAACCGAAAAAGUUCAAAUGCUACAACAGCAAAGGUAUAUAUGUCUAUUUUCCUGGCCUAAUUCUCAGAACUACCUGCGCCCUCACUUACAAUUUUUCCAAAUGCCUUGGCAAGAGUUACAAUAGCCCGAAUUUAGCGAUCACUUUUCUCAUCUACUUCUUCUUCUUUGAUUUGGAAGCCGACUGAGUGUAAGCAGUUCCCUGAAAAUUAUGACGACCAAAACCAGAAAUUGUCAGUAACACUCCUAUAUAGAUCAUUAUUUGAUGAAGUCCCAUGGUGAACUCAUGAAUAACCUCAAUCAUAUCCAUUGAAUAAACAGAUAACGAGCUCUUGGGGACAAGAGCAGUGAAAAGAAAAUCUAGCUAAAAUAGAAAGAAUGGGAAGUGAUGAUGAUGAUGAUGUGAUGCAUAAGCCAAGACAUAACCUGAAGCCAUUCAUCCAGUGAAGCAUCGGGAGCCCUGGUCCCAACUUCCACCUUUGGAGCCCUCUUAGUUUUCUAGCAAAAUAAAUAAGUCAAAACACAUUAGCUUUAUUCCACAAAAAGAAGCAUAAAACACAUAAAGUAACACUGCAAAUUGAAGCUUUCUUCAAUUUAAGAACAAAAUAUCACGGAUAUUUAACAUUUUCACAGCAAAACAGCUUGCUGAAAACUUGAAAUAGGUCAUGAAUGCUAGAAACCUAGAACAAUGUUGAUUUCCCUACAUGUAUGCAUGGAUGUGCUCUUUUAAUUUCUAUCAGCAAAAGCCUUGUUACAUCGAUCUUAUAAUAACUGGAUACUGCAGUGAAUUAAUAUAACAAUAGCAAGGUAGCACAACUACAAUACCUUGGUGAUACGCUGAAAUUGACCGUGAAGCCACAAACCAAGGAGAACAAGAAGUGCAAUCCCAAGGGUAACAAGGAAAACGGACUCAACACUGAGGAAACCACCAGCCUCAACAACUUCAAUGGUACCAUUAUAGAAUGUACUUUGGUAUGGUUGCUGAUCAAUAUCAUAGAUAAUCGAACCCACAAGAUCAAAAGUUCCAGGCUGCAGCAAAAUUCUGGAUGUGUAAGCUCUACCGCAACUGUACUUCUCACAGAGAAUUUAUAUACGGUACCAAGGCAUAAAUCUCACGGAGUAAUCAUUUACCUGUAAGUACUUGCUAACAGCAAAUACGUAAGGGAAAGUAGCUUGAACUGAAGGGGGUACAGUUGCAUUGUUGAAAGCCUACAUUAACACAGACAUAUUCAGUUCUAGAAUCUACAAGGAAACAUCACAAGGCAGCUUUCAUGCAACAACAUAAGCUGUAAAACUCCAAAAUUACAAGGAGCAUGACCAACUUUGUACCAACAGAGAGCCUUGAGAUCUUUUUCAAAUAAAGAAGCAAAGAUUUGAUAAUGAAGUAGGCAAAAAAAAAAAAAAAAAACAGCGCAGCAUUAUUAUUGCAAAACGACCAGUUAGAGCAUGAAUGCCUUACAUGCUCAAUUUCAUAUCUGAAAAUCAUUGUAAGGUCUACAAUUAAAAGUUAAAGAUACAGCAAAAUCUACACUAGUACCAAACCCUCUGCUAAAGUUUCUUAAACUGAGAUAUAUAACUUCUCAGUGCAAGUUCAACAUCCCUCCACCAUAUUAACAAGCACUGGUUAAAAUAAUUGACUCUACUAUAAGACUAUAACUGUUAUAGCCUAUUAGUGUAGGGAAGCAGUUACAAAUGAAACACAAACUAGUGUCGCAAUGCAUAAAACUCAUAUUAUUGACCAUAUGUUUGACAAUGGAUAUUUAAAACAUCCAAUAAGAUAUCAUAUCAACAUGAGAGCAUGCAUGUUUCAAUGCUCAUGGGGUUAAGCUGGCUUGUCAAGCCUCAAGUAAUGAAGGCUUAAAUAGAGAAUAACUCUUUAGUUAUUAUUAGGUAUCCUAUAGGCAAUGAUCUAGUAGUAUGAAGAUUGGGGCACCUAAUAACUGAAAUUAAAACCCUUUCUGUGCUAGCUUUGCUAGGUUAGAAAGAGAUAAUGUUUCUACUUGGUGGCAAACAACCACUGAAUUGUACUGGUCGCUGGCUUUGUACUGAUGACGGUAUUAUUAAUAAAUGACCAUACAACCGCACUCUUUUUCCACUCUUCAUUUAGAAUAGUGGUUUUUUAGUGGGGCACAUUUUUCAUUAAAAAAUCAAUGAAUGCUAAAUUGUAUUUUAUAAAACAAACUCACUGAAUGAUUAAUUUUAUUUAUCAAAACUAAAGGGCUAGAUACUAAAUUAUAAAAAGCUCUUCAGUUAGGAAAUAAUAGAAAUUAAUCAAAAUGAAAACUGAACUAACUAAUGUAUCAGGAGUAUUUGAAAAUGUUAAACCAGAACAAUAUCAAGAAACUCUAUGAUUACCACUGCUGUAAGAUUUUGAACAAGCAUACGGUGAUCAAAAGGGAGAUGAACACUGGCUUUGAUAGCAAUGACAUUCACAGGUGACUCCCCUGCAAUUUAAAGAAGUAAGCUAUGCAUAAGAGUGAAGGAAACCUCAAA